UACGGAGGGGGCAAGCGUUGUUCGGAAUUACUGGGCGUAAAGCGCGUGUAGGCGGCAUGGCAAGUCGGGUGUGAAAGCCCUCAGCUUAACUGAGGAAGUGCGCCCGAAACUGCCGUGCUUGAGUGCCGGAGAGGGUGGCGGAAUUCCCCAAGUAGAGGUGAAAUGCGUAGAUAUUGGGAGGAACACCAGUGGCGAAGGCGGCUACCUGGACCGGUUCUGACGCUGAGGCGCGAAAGCGUGGGUAGCAAACAGG
rnacentral:rRNA from 1 species